ACAUCAUUGCUUGAAUUUGGCUUCCCACAAUUAUCUGGGAUUUAUUGGAAAUUCUGAAAUUGAAGAAUGUGCUGUUCGAACUUUAAGGAAAUAUGGUGUUGGUUCCUGUGGUCCAAGAGCAUUCUAUGGGACUGUUGUAGCCACCAGAACGAUCGCGGGAGGCGCACAUUGGCACGGCGCGUCACGGGCGGUAGUUUCCGCAAGUAGAGUCCCGUCCACCAGAGGGCACGCGAGAAUUCGGACGCGACCUCUGCCGGCGUAACAACAACAACAACUACUCCGGCAGCACGGGCCGUGCCCAGUCAGUCAACAUCGGGAAUGCCUAGGACGCAGUCCCGGUCUACGCUACGUGAAGUGCGACGUAAAGUGAACAGUGUUACUACACAAUUGGCGACGAGUAGGGUCGUUCUUUCGCGUGUUGCGUCGUUGUUCCGGUUUCGCAGCUUCUCCACGGCAUGGAGGAUUUAGUGCAGGUUUUGGUUGCGCAGCAGACGGAGCUCAUGGCCACCCUGAAACAAGUGCUUCCGGCGUUGUUCUCCACGCCGUCUGCUCCGGCGCAGUUCCCUCCUCCCUUUCCCCCGUAUGACGAGACGGCGGAGGAUUGGGACGCAUACGAACAUCGCCUUCGGCAGCAUUUCCAGGCGUUUCAUGUUGCCGAUGCGGAGGUAUGUCGUGCUCUCUUUUUGUCUUCGAUAUCUCCCUCGCUGUAUCAAGUUUUGCGGCAGCUAGCGCCGUUGCAGGAACCCUCGUCCUUGUCUUUUGACGCAUUGUGUUCAUUGCUGUCUUCACAUUAUCGCCGCCGCACGCAUGUUGUGGCGGCUAGGGUCGAGUUCUAUCAAUGCAAGAAACAGCCCCAUCAGUCUUACCGGGCGUGGGCCGCUACCCUGCACGGUCUUAGUCGCAAGUGUCAUUUUGUCACGGCGCAGUCGCGAGAAUCGUAUGCCCACGUUAUGGUGCACGACGUCAUUGUUCGUUCGGCCCCUGAUAGGGAGGUCCGGCAACGGGCCAUGCAGUUAGAAGACCCUUCUCUCGAGGAAGUCCUGUCCAUUGCUCAAUCGUAUGAAGUCUCUCACGCAGCAGGUCAACAGCUGGAAGCGUGGUGCGACGUCGCGGAGGUUCAGGGCGGCGCGGCCGCGUCCACUGUGUCCUGGGUGGACGACGUGCGAGCGGUACAAUCCGGCCGUUACGGCCGCUCCCGCACGGCGCGUAAACAGAAUUCCGGCCGCCGACCCCUGUUGCCGUCCUGUGCGUCGUGCUAUAUACAUCACGAUCGAUCAGAGUGCCCCCGGCGUUGGGCCGUUUGUCGCAAAUGUAAUAAAAAAGGUCACAUUGCUAAAGUUUGCCGCUCCGCCUCGAAAGAAUCGAAGGAAGCAAGUCCAGAGGACAUGGACGUUGACAUUCAGGAAGUUUCAUCGGGCCAGGCUCCCGACGCGUCGGCCCGCAAACUCUUUAUCGAGGUGUCGGUUCGGUCGCGCCGGUUAAAACUGCAAGUCGAUACGGGCGCGGCAGUUUCGUUGUUGAAUGCACAAACUUAUUCCGACCUUGGAUCGCCCCCGUUGGAGCCCGUUUACCGGCGUCUACGCGGUUAUGGUAAACAGUUCAUUCCCCUACUGGGUCAAUUCACUACCGACGUGACUUACAAAUCAGUCACUCGGCCUAUUACUUUUAUUGUUGUCAGUGAUGCGAGUUCCGCUAACCUUUUUGGCCUGGAUGCCUUUCAAGCUUUCGGUUUUUCUAUUGCUGACACCAUACAGUUGGUCUCCGAAGACGUUCCCUAUCACUCAUUGGAAUCUUUGAUCUCAGACUUUCCCGAUAUUUUUGAGGAGGGCCUGGGGCGUGUUUCCGAUUUUGAAGCUCACUUAACGUUGAAGGCGUCGGCUCGCCCGCGUUUUCUACGCGCGAGACAGAUCCCCUUGGCUCUCCGCCCUCAGGUAAAGGAAGAGCUAGACCGGCUGACAGCCCUAGGGGUCGUUCUUCCCAGUUCUUCUAGUGAGUGGGCUUCGCCCCUAGUUAUUGUCAAGAAGCCCUCGGGAAAAUUACGUCUUUGUGGCGAUUUCAAGGCCACCAUUAAUUCCCAAUUGGUGGUGGACACCUAUCCUUUGCCUCGUGCUGAUGAAUUGUUCUCCGCCGUGGCGGGAGGCCAAUAUUUUUCGAAAAUCGAUCUGUCGGAGGCUUAUCAUCAGAUACCACUUGAUGAGGACUCCAAACGGCUGGCGGUCGUCAACACACCGUUUGGCCUUUACCAAUACCAGCGGUUGGCUUUUGGGAUAUCCAGUGCCCCGGCGAUAUUCCAGCGUUAUCUUGAGCAUGUCACUUCGACAAUCCCUCAUUGUAUUAAUUACCUGGAUGACAUAAUUGUCACAGGCCGCAGCACGAAGGAACACUUGCACAACCUUCGCACCCUCUUUCUGAAAUUCAGGUCUGUGGGCUUGCGUUGCAACCUGCAUAAGUCAACCUUCUUCCAACCGUCCAUUGAGUAUGUGGGCUACACCAUAUCUCGGCAUGGCAUCCAGCCACUAGGAAGUUUGGUCCAAGGUAUCGUCAACCUUCCUCGGCCCGCUUCGCUGAAAGAGUUACAAGCUUUUUUAGGCAAGAUAGCCUAUUACCACCGGUUCAUUCCCAGGGCUUCCACUAUAGCCCACCCCCUGUACUGCCUUCUGCACAAGGGUGUUCCUUUUGAUUGGUCGCCUGCAUGCGAGCGAGCGUUCACCUCCUUGAAGGGCCUCCUCACUUCAGCCCCUUGUUUGGCUACUUUUGAUCCCCAUAAGCUGUUGGUCCUGGCUACAGAUGCUUCGCAGUAUGGGGUGGGGGCAGUCCUGGCCCAUCGCAACGCAGAUGGUUCCGAGCAACCACUGGCGUUUGCGUCUAAAACGCUUAGUCCCGCGCAGGCCCAUUACUCCCAGGUGGAAAAAGAAGCUUUGGCCAUUGUCUACGCUGUUACCAAGUUUCACCCUUUCUUGUAUGGCACGAAGUUUCAUUUAAUCACUGACCAUAAGCCGUUAAUAUCGUUAUUUGGCCCCGCCUCUCAGAUUCCGGAUAGGGCGGCCCACAGACUACAGCGCUGGGCCUUGUUCCUCUCUAAGUACCAUUAUGACAUUCGUUUUCGCCCUACAGGGCAGCAUGCCAACGCCGACGCUCUUUCCCGUCUUCCGGUGGGCCCGGAUCCUACGUUCGAUCGGGAGGAGAUUGUGUUUUCAAUUGGAUGUGGCGUCCCGCCAAGCAGUUGAUGGCUUCCCGAUCACUAGUUCUCGAGUCGCCAAGGAAACGGCGGCUGACCCGGUUCUCCGGCAAGUAGUUCGCCUCAUUCAGCAGGGGUGGUCAUCCCGCCCUCCGGGCCGGGCCUCGGACCCUCUUCGUAAUUAUUUUCUUCUACGAGACCGCCUCUCAGUCUUGGAAGGAGUUCUCCUUCUGGCUACCGAUGAUACAGCUCCUCGCGUGGUUAUUCCUGCAGGUUUACGAAGGGAGGUCCUGACGUUAUUACAUGCGGGGCACUGGGGUGUUUCCCGUACUAAAACCUUGGCUCGCAGACAUGUGUACUGGCCCGGUAUUGACAGAGAAAUUGAGCACUUGGUGGCCGCCUGUUCCCAGUGUGCGAGCCAACAAGCAUCUCCCAGGGCAGCGUUCUCUUCAUGGCCGCCGGCAACCCAAGCAUGGGAACGUGUUCACAUCGAUUUUGCGGGCCCGUUUCUCAAUGGCUUUUGGCUCAUUGUCAUUGAUGCUUAUUCCCGAUUCCCAUAUGUGGUUCGCUGCUCCUCCACCACUUCAGAAGUUGCAAUCCAGGCACUAGCAAAAAUCUUUUCUGUGGAAGGUCUGCCAAUCACCCUGGUCUCAGACAAUGGACCGCAGUUUAUUUCACAGACCUUCCAGGAUUUUUGUAGGCGCUUCAGUAUUCGGCACGUUUGCUCUCCCCCCUUCCAUCCACAAUCGAAUUGGGAAGCCGAGCGCAUGGUGCGCACAAUUAAGACGCAGAUGAAAAAGUAUGUGCACGAAUUUCCUGCAGAGGAAGCCUUGACGUUUUUCUUGACGGCAUACCGGACCGCACCAAUGGGUGAACGCAGCCCCGCAGAGCUCCUCCAUGGGCGUCAACCUAGGACUCUGCUGCACCUUCUCCGGCCUGGUCCUCGCCAGUCUUCACAAACCGGAGUACCUGGUUUUCCACUGGGUAUGUCGGUCUGGGCCCGUGGGUUUGGUCGCAAUCCACGUUGGAUACCGGCGGUGGUCCUGCAUCGAAAUGGCCGCCGGCUCUAUACCUUGCAGGCGGGGGAUCGGGUGGUACGUCGUCACCAAAAUCAGCUACGUCCACGUUCGGGCACCCACCCUCCGACCUCUCGGGCACUGGCUUCCCCAUUGCCGGCACCUGUAUUGGUUUCACAGGGGACGUCACCUCCUCUCCCCACGGUGCCUCUGCCGCACUGCGAUGGUUCUCCGCCUUGGCAGCCUCCAGUAGCUCCAGCACCGGCAUCGCCGUCAUUCGCGAUGCCCCAGCGAGAGCUGGCCCCCCUAGCUGGCCCGGUUUCUCAGGGGGCUAGUUCACCUGUGGUCGUCCCUUCCCCUUCGUCCCCACCACUGGGUCUUGGCCCUCCCGAGGUGGAACAUGAUCCGGAGUUCGACAGCUUGUCACCCGUUCUGUCCCGAGCUCCGGUUGUGGGACGACGGGGGCCUCUUCGGGUGGGUCACUUCCAGCCGUAUUCGAAGGUUCCAGCUCGAGGGUUGGCAGAUCCCCUCGACUCCGGCCAUCCAAUGGAUGUGGAGGUCAUCGCUCCUGCCCGACGCUCCACCUUCCGACGCAGUGGAUCACAGUGGCUCCACCCCCCGAAGGAGGAGGAGUGUAGUAGCCACCAGAACGAUCGCGGGAGGCGCACAUUGGCACGGCGCGUCACGGGCGGUAGUUUCCGCAAGUAGAGUCCCGUCCACCAGAGGGCACGCGAGAAUUCGGACGCGACCUCUGCCGGCGUAACAACAACAACAACAACAACUACUCCGGCAGCACGGGCCGUGCCCAGUCAGUCAACAUCGGGAAUGCCUAGGACGCAGUCCCGGUCUACGCUACGUGAAGUGCGAUGUACACCAGGAAGGAAAGGUUCAGACAUAAAAUCAGAGUCGAUGAAUUAACUCUGUGAACUGUGGUGAAAUGGAAGGUGAAUUACUUUUUAUCUUGUUCACUAAAAUUUAUUACAUGGUCAUUUAAAGAGUAGAGCAAGACGUAUCUACACUACAUGCUCUGUUUUACACAUUUUUGCAACAAGUUCAAUGUUGUAUAUAAGAUUCACUCAUUGCAGCUGCCAGAACAUAUUAUCUGUUUUGGAGGCAAUGUGAUGAAUUUGUAGGUGGAAUUAAAGAACUUUCAAUUGGGUAACUCUUCCAAGUCAUUGAAGAAUAUCUUAACAUAAACACUAAAAAUGAAUGUUUCAAGUUAUGGUAGAAUUAAUAUUAGCACUCACUUGAGAGAAGUGUAAAAUUAUGAGACAGAAUGGCUGUCCAGUAAUUACAGUUUGUAGGUGACGUGUCAAAACUAUUGAUAUGCACAUUAAAUAAAGAAAUAAGCAUGUUGUUGGAAAAAGUAUGACUUUCCAUGAACAUACGUAUGUGUGUGUUUGUUUUCAUUUUGCCAAAAUCUAUGAAGAGCAGCUACUGCUUAUACCUUUCUUGAAUUUUUAAUUUUGAUUGCUAUUUUCUAAAAGCACACUUAGCUACAUGUCACUAAUGUCACUCA